UAAAUAAAAAUAGCAAGAAUGAGCUAUUAAAAAAGAUUGAACGAAGAGUUUGAUCCUGGCUCAGGAUGAACGCUGACAGAAUGCUUAACACAUGCAAGUCAACUUGAACUUCGGUUUGGGUG
rnacentral:rRNA from 1 species